rnacentral:rRNA from 1 species
AGUGAACGCUGGCGGUAGGCCUAACACAUGCAAGUCGAACGGCAGCACAGUAAGAGCUUGCUCUUACGGGUGGCGAGUGGCGGACGGGUGAGGAAUACAUCGGAAUCUACUUUUUCGUGGGGGAUAACGUAGGGAAACUUAUGCUAAUACCUCAUACUACCUACGGGUGAAAUCAGGGGAUCUUCGGACCUUGCGCGAUUGAAUGAGCCGAUGUCGGAUUAGCUAGUUGGCGGGGUAAAGGCCCACCAAGGCGACGAUCCGUAGCUGGUCUGAGAGGAUGAUCAGCCACACUGGAACUGAGACACGGUCCAGACUCCUACGGGAGGCAGCAGUGGGGAAUAUUGGACAAUGGGCGCAAGCCUGAUCCAGCCAUACCGCGUGGGUGAAGAAGGCCUUCGGGUUGUAAAGCCCUUUUGUUGGGAAAGAAAAGCAGCAGGUUAAUACCCCGCUGUUCUGACGGUACCCAAAGAAUAAGCACCGGCUAACUUCGUG